UAAUUAAAGAAUGCUUUUUCUUCGAUUGUAUUCAAGAUGCAGAAUUUUUUCAAUGGCUUAAUAAACUGUUGCUUUAAGGGGUUGUGUCUAUUUGUUGAAAUAUUUUCGUAAGAACUCAAUAAAAUGUUUCAUCUACUACCAGUAUGGGAAGUAAAUUCAUUACUCAAACUAUAAUGGCUGGUGACCUAGCAACAAUGAUUUAUCUACGAUCAUUCACUUCCAUGUUUUACUUCGUUUUUACUACGGCAUUCCACCAUAGAGAUAUAGACAGUCAUAAACUGCGUAGGAUUUGAAAUUGAAACCAUUUACUAUUCAAAGUCAAUAAAGG